UCGUGAAAGCACAUCGACGCAGAAUGAAGCGAGCAGGACGCUAAUAAGUCAGUUUUAUUAUUUGUUCUCCAGUUUGAAAUAUUUACGUCGUAUAAAAUACGUCUUUGAUUUUUUAGUAAAUGAUAAAGUCGUCUCGAUGCGCUAGAAGCACUGUGCCGCUUCUCGUGCUAUCUUUGCUGGUUAGUUGGCUUAGCUCGCUAGUUAGCUUAGCUUGUUAGCUGCUAACAGAAGACACAGAAGUUAUCAACUCAUCGCUAAGUAGGGAUCAUGUGUGAGAGUAAAGUGUUGUGAUUGUGUGAAAAUGUCUACAUUACAAAUGUUGAGAGCGUUUGUGGAUCAGCGACUAACUGCUGCCGUUGAAGAAAUAUGUGUAGUGUUAGAAAGAACGAUAGCAGAAUACGAGGCGGAACUUUCUGGAACAAUAGAGGAUUACAAUCAACUACUGGACGCUGUUGUCAAGAAACAUCAAGUUGUGUUACACAGAACAGACGUGCCGUGGUGGAUUCAGAACUCUCCUCUACUUGGCCAGUUGGUGGGAUAACUUCAUCCAUGGAAGCAGCAGCAGUGGUUGACGCUGAUGUUGACGUUUCUGUAGGUCCAUGCCGCAGUAGUGUUCUUCUUCUUUUCACACCAACUGUUGAUGUAUAGCCCAUUUCUAACAAUGGCAAAGGGUGGUCAUCCGUUGGUUUACCAUGCAAGAAAUAAUAACUGCAGAUCUGUGAGUCUUUUGUAGGCUUCCAGUCCACCCACUUGUUAUUAGCCUUCUUACAUUUCCUAUUAACGGCCUUAAUCCAUCUUAUUUUCAUGUCUGGAUCUUUUGGAAAUGGCUACUGUUUGAAUGGUGGAUCACAAACACAUCUUCCUGAGUCAAAAUAACUCUCAUCAAUGUCACACAUAGUUUGUUUCCAUCUUGUGAGGUGAUAUGUACUAUUAGAACAUCUCACAACUGAGCAAAUUGUUUUCGGCAUAUUGAAAAAUAUACAUGAUGCGGAAUAAACAAUCAUUUAGAAAUAUAUCUACUACUGUUCACGUUAAAGAGUAAACACAAACCACAAACUGACAAAGUUUACUAAAAAAGUAUGGAGUCGCUUGGCUUUGAUUAUCCCUCACGAACUUUGACCUCGACAAAUUGGACAUGUGCAGAAGCCAACAUGGAAGUGGUCCAUUCAAAUAUCGGAAGAGAUCACCAAUGCAAAAGAGAGCAAAAAGAAGCCUUAGACACAAUUAGUCAUAGCAUCUUAAUAAACAAAUUAGAACAGUAUGGAAUCAGAAGGUUGGUCUUGAACUGGGUUAGAAGCUACUUAACCAACAGGAGGUGUACAAAAAGACUGCCUCUGUAAUGCUUGUUUUCUUUUUGUGUCAUCGGGUUGCUUGAGUGUAGAUCACUUUUACGACACUGGAGGGGGCAUUGAAUGCAUCAUUGCAUCAGCAGGCUCUGAAAGUUACUGUGAACUUCAAAGUCAAUUGUUUAAUAGGCUGAGGAAAUUACUUUAUAUACACUUUAAUAUCACUUUUGUGCUUAAAACUGUAUUGCAACUCAUUUGAUCUGUUUUAUUGUAGUCUAAUGGCUGUUUGGCAUCAAAUUGACAAGCUAACUGCGAGCUGAAUAUCAUACCCUGGUUGGGGCCUGUUUGUAGCAUUGGACAUGUUUGUUAGCCCCAAGUUACAAUUUACAUUUAUUGUUGUGAUGCUAUUUACAUUCUAUUACUCAUUACAUUACUUAGGGCUGGGAUGUUCAAAUCCUGUGCAUUUAUGUACACUGUGUAUACCCAGCUAAGUGAUGUAUAUUUAACAGCCUUGUCGCAGGUUUGUGCCUAUAUUUCAUUGCAUUGUGGUAACUUCAGUUCAGGGGUCUCAAACUCACUGGAUGCAGAGUCUGGAUGAGGCUGGGCCGCGAGAAAAGAUUUCUUUAAAAAAAAUGUUGCAUACUCCUCAGCAUGUCUAGUUGUAUAAUGACGUUUCAAAUGGUAUCCCUUGUGCAUUGUAACUUUCUCUGUGCAAAUAAAGAAAUAUUGCAUCUCCCA